rnacentral:rRNA from 1 species
GACGAACGCUGGCGGCGUGCUUAACACAUGCAAGUCGAACGGAAAGGCCCUGCUUGCCGGGUACUCGAGUGGCGAACGGGUGAGUAACACGUGGGUGAUCUGCCCUGCACUUCGGGAUAAGCUUGGGAAACUGGGUCUAAUACCGGAUAGGAGCCAUCUUUAGUGUGGUGGUUGGAAAGUUUUUUCGGUGUAGGAUGAGCUCGCGGCCUAUCAGCUUGUUGGUGGGGUAAUGGCCUACCAAGGCGGCGACGGGUAGCCGGCCUGAGAGGGUGUACGGCCACAUUGGGGCUGAGAUACGGCCCAGACUCCUACGGGAGGCAGCAGUGGGGAAUAUUGCACAAUGGGCGCAAGCCUGAUGCAGCGACGCCGCGUGGGGGAUGAAGGCCUUCGGGUUGUAAACUCCUUUCGCUAGGGACGAAGCUUUGUUGUGACGGUACCUAGAUAAGAAGCACCGGCUAACUACGUG